AAUUAACCGUGGUUUUUUUUUUUUUUUUUAACGUUGCUCAUUUAAGGAAGGUGUGCCAAUGGUGUUCUUGUUUCCUCAGUUUACUACUUUAUUUUGUCCCUUUCCCAGACAUAGAAACCUUUUACUUACAGGGUCGUUUCCCCCUCCCCCCCAAAAAAAGUGUUUGGAACAUUUUGUAUUGAUAUUUCUGAGCAUUCUUAGAAUAAUUAGUGGUUUGUCCCAGGCCAUGUGUAAAGUUGAUUUCAGCCCAAGAAUUAGACAUUUUGGGUUUUGGCCCAGGUUUGUCAUUGAGAGGUAGAUUUGCAAUGGUGGGAUGACCAGAUGACCACCUCUCCCAGCUCUUUAUUAUUUUUUGAAACCAUGUGCUUAAUUCUACUGAAAGCCCAGGGUUAACAGGCUGGUUUUGCUGUGGUGUGUCGUUCUUAAUAAAUUAGCAGUGAGCGGUUCUGUGACUUGGACUUUUGCUCACUCCAUUGGUGUGCUGGAGAAAUUAACAUGAACUGAAGGUAACAACUCAUUUUUUGUUCCUUAGGUUUUUCUUUGGAUUUGAUAGAACAUUCACACCGACUUAGUGAUCUAACAGGAACUUGUGCCAUAUAAUAGAGUGAAUAAUUACUCCCAAAUGUGAGAAUCAGGUUCAGGAAGGGUAAUAUAGGUCAUGACCCAUUAUAAUACAUUACCCGGAAUUAGCCAGGUUCCUUUGUUUCACUUGGAGCUUCUGUUGUGUUAUUUGAACUGUUCAUUGACUUUUACAGAUUGUUGUGUUUAAAGUUGGAUGUCACCUGUGAAUUUAUUCUUGUGACUUUAGAGACAGGUUCAUAGUUACAAUUUGCAUUGUAUUCUUUGAAAAGCAGUUUAAAAUAUUAAUUUGCCACUGUAAUUUGCUUGUUGUCUGAGUGAAGAAACAUUCACAAUAACACUGCUUAAUAAAUAACAGCAUUCCUUUCUACUGCUUGAUGAAGGAAGCUCAUUCUUAAAUUUACUCCUAGGCAUAUUACAUAGUGACUCUGAAACUUUUAAAACCCUCUUUAAAGCUUUUGAAAACUUUUUAUCUUUUUGGUUAGCCAGGUUUGGUAAAGCUUAAAGAAUGCCAAAAGUGAAAGUUUUUAGGCAUGAUUUGUCUUCCAAGUGAUAGAGUUUAAACAUUUUAGACAGGAUUUAACUCUAAAAUUUCUGGGAGAUGUUCGUCUAAAUAAAUAAGUCAUGUUUUACUUUGCUUUUAGUUAGGAUUUGGUUGCAUCUUGAUCCCACAUGAAAAUCUGAAAGCUUGGCCAUCUCUGGGUAUUGAUUGGGAAGUUAGAAGUUUAUUCUGUGGCUCAGAAGUUUACUAUUAUACAUCAGUUUCUUCUGGGAAAUAGCAAGAUUGUAUUUUCAUUGACUUGAUUUUCAUAGCGUACAAUGAGAAGUAUUUCUCAAUACUAAGAUAUUUUUAGGACAAUUGUAUUGGACUUUUAAAGACAAACGAUGGUGAAAUAAAUCCUGCCUGCUGGUGUUUAUGGGGUACCAUGUGGGUUUCAGGAACAGACUGAGGUUGUGUUUAAUCAUGAUUAUUAGCACAAGGCACUGAAGCUUGGUGAUGGGUUAUCAGAACUGUUUUAGAAGUGUAAAAGCGCAUUUUUCUUCCUCUUGUCCCCCAAGCAGUGUGGAAUUAUGGAUAUGAGAAUCAAGGAUUGGUUUAUUUUUAAUACUAGCUAUGAAAGUCUGUUAGAAUAAAUAAUUUGAGAUUAAGGUUGUCACAAUAUAAUCGUCUCGAUACAUAACGAAAACAAUGUAGCUUUAAAAAGGACCACCUGCAAAAUAGACUUACAGAGUACAUCUGAACAGAGUCAAGUACCCAGGCAGAAUAAUUUUUUGAGGACUUAGUAUGUUGUAGGCGCUGUUGUAAGCUGUGCUUUGUGUCAUUUAAUCUCACAACAGUAUGUACUGCCACCAUUUGACAAGACAGCUGAGGCUGAGAGGUUAGAAAAAUUAAUGUCCAAAAUGUCACAAAAAUGAUAGAGUCCAAAACUUGAUCCACUGUGCUACACCAUAUGUAUUUACUCAAAAAAUAUAAAGCUAGAUUUACUCAUUUCAAUCUGAGCUAUAAUAAACUAUAUUUUAUUAUGUCUGUGGAAGAUCAUUUAAUAGGGAUCAAAUUAUUAAAAUGGGGAGUUUACUAGUAUUUGUUUUUUUUAACUAGCAAUAUGCUUAAUCUUUUUUGAGUUGAAGUGAAUAUACUUACCUGCCUUGUUUCAUAUAAGACCAGUGAGUAUUAGUGUGUGCUGGUUAAUUCUACUAUAUGUAAGCCCCACUUAAAGUGGGUGGUAGUUUGUCCCUGUUUAUGGUUGGCUUAGAAAGACAAAACCAGAACUAGAGUAAAACUGUGGAUUUGGGUGUCUUAAAUAAGGAAAUAAAACAGGUGAACAUGUGUUACAAGAAAGAUAGAUGGGGAUUUUUUUUCCUCUGUUGUGUUUUUUGAGUAGUCCAGAAGUAGCCCCAGAAAUAGUGUUGAAAGCUUUAUAGUUUGCAGGUAAUAAAAUCACGACCAGAGCCUGUUCUAACCAAGGACAGCAGAGAAUGUGAUAAAGAAAGUGUUAUUUUGGGUUAAGUUGUGUCUAGGUGAUAUUUUUUUACUUAUCUUCUCUAGUAUAUAUUUCAAGUAUAAAUUGUCAAUAGAAAUAGAAAUAACCUGAUUAUAUGUAACUCUUUUCCUGCCCCCACAUAUAACCAUUUAAAGACUCUGUACAGACAGCUCACAUUAUGUUGAAUUAAAAGUUAAUUGAGAUCAUUAACUUCUUUAAAUCUUAGAUAAAUAAGGUAAACAGAUUAUAUGGGUUUUGUUAAACCUUAUUAGGUUUUUUUUUUUUUUUUUUUUUGAGAUUUAUUUAUUUGAAAGUCAGAGUUACACAGAGAGAGAAGAGGCAGAGAGAGAGAGAGAGUUCUUCCAUCCGAUGGUUCACUCCCCAAUUGGCCGCAAUGGCAGGAGCUGCGCCAAUCCGAAACCAGGAGCCAAGAGCUCUUCCAGGGCUCUCACGCUUCUCAUUGUAAUAGCAGAUACACUUACCCUUCCAGUGAAGGAAGGCUUACUCUGGACACACUCCUAGGUAAGCAAGAGAACCUAAUUAGAAUGCCAGUUAAGGCAGAAUACAAUGUAGGUUAUGGACUUGUCCUGUCUUUUACACGUACACCAGUUGGAUCCGUUUCACAGAGGGCCUUUUUUCUUUGAAUUUGCGGUUAAUAAUAUGCAAAGCACAGCACAGCCACCUAUGUUCGGAAUAUUUGGUUUGAGAAAACUUCAGGUGUCAGCUUUGCAGCCCUGCUAAAUGGUCUUAGAUGCUAUUUGAAGAAGGAGAAGGAGAAAUUGGCCUUUCUACUGCUGAAUCUGUCCAGCUGGGAACUUGAACAACAAAUUUCUUCUUGAGUCCAGCCUGUUUUCCAGGGAUCUCAGAAUAGAAUCUUCUCCUAGGAUACAUUCUGUAGGUGUGUCUUAAUUCUUCAGCACCAGCCUGCUACUUAGCGAAGGGAUUGGGGCGCUUCGGGGUUCUUUUCCAGCAGGUUAGAAAUUAUGAGGUUUCUCCCUGGGGCACUCUCUUGAGCAUGAUGAAGCUCAUUCUGAUAACAGCUAUAUCUUAUUCUGUUGGACACACUUUGGACCCUUGCCUACUGUCUUCAUUGUCAUAUCUUUCCCUCCAGGUUCAGGGCUUGACAUUUUCAGAUCACCUUUAGAAGAAUGAUCCUAGUCAAAGCACAUCUAGCUAUUUUCCCCCAAACACAUGUAGGUGAAAAAUGAAGCUCAUAAAUGUGUUUUUACUGUUAGCUGGUUUCUGUGCGUUAACCACUAGACAUUUUGGAAGAAGUCUGUAAUAAAAUUAGAACAUGGUCUGCUACAUAAUGCUGGAGUGCUAAUAAACCAUAUAUAGCCUCAUAUUCCUACGCACACAAAAGCAAAGCACAUAGUGAAGGGGGUUUCACAGGAUUGGGGUCUUGAGUGAGGUGUUCAUCGUUGUCAAAAAGGAAAAGAGAUUGUUGUGUAACUAUUCAGGCAAAAUGUAGCAGAUUUCCUAGGCAAGGCAAGCCAGUGUUACAAAGUGUUACUUUGAGCAUUAGUUCUGUUUGGCUGAUACAGUAACUUUGAUACAGUGAUGGAGUGGAACUGUCACUGAUCUGCAACUUUGAACUGAUUGAAAAUCAUUCUCAAUUAAGUGCCAGCUAGCCUAAAAGUAUAUUGAAAAGCUUUGUGUUAGUUGAUGGUAAGCUGUCAGGGAAUUGAAAUAGUGCAGAACAUUUGUACAUACGUGCUUUGUUGGUAAAGUUGGCAUGGCAAAAUUUAAGGCAAUCUUAACACAACUUUUUCAGCCUAAACUUACAGGAAAUGAAUAUGUACUUGUAUUUAUCCCCAAGCAUUAAUGCCUUUAUAUCUCUGGUAUUUUUAGCUUUUUACUGAAAAGAAUUCCUUUUUCUUGAUGUGCGACACUAUUUUGUGGUCUUACUAACUUGUUGAACAAAGUAGAGCCUCAGUAAAGACACAGGGUUAGAAGUUCAGACGUGAGAUAUAUGUUAAUCAAAUGCUGAAACUAGUUUUCUGAAGAUAAUAGCAUGUUCUUCUUAACACUGUGUAGGGAAAGCUAUUACCUGUGCAUGUAAGAAGAAUUUGAAGUACAGAGAAAGUAACUGUCUAAUAUCACAGCCUACUAAGUGGCAGUGCUAGAUUCUGUUGCCACUCUUCUGAUUUCAAAACCUAACUGACCCUAACUUGUACUAUACUACCUUGUUCUUUGGAAACUGUUUCUUUUACUGAAUAGAAACAUUUCUUACCCACUUCUGAAAGGGAGACUCCUGUCCAGAGAGACUUGUAAUUUACUAGGGGGAGCAGGUGUGCUGAAACCCAGAGGCAAAGUUGGAAGGAAAAUAGACAUGCUAUUUGUACUUCUACCCUAGGAAGAACAUCAGUGGUGAGGGAAAUAACUUGUUGCCAAAUCGCUCUCCAGAAGCUCAUUUGUGUAUUAAAAAGGUUAACAAGAAGGCAGUGACUUUUGCCUUAUAGAAAAGUAUUUCCAUAGUGGUCAAGGAAGAAAAAGACUCUAUCAUUUGUAGGAUCCCAUAUAGAACAUUGGUAGUAUGACCCUAACUCAACUGUGUUUGCGUUUCCUGGCUCUGCACUGUUAGGAAAACACGAAAGAAAUUUUCCACCCUUUGCUCCUCCUCAGUGGAAUAUUCCACUAGGCUAGUUUUGUAAAAUUCUUUUAUUUACUUUUUCUAAGAUAAAGUCAGUGCCUAUAAUUGUAGAAAAAAUGUUCCACCAGAAGUGUACUUUGUGUUAGAUGGCUGCCUAAUCUUUGUGUUUUUGGAGAUAAAACACUUUAAUAAAAAUUUCUAUUAAGUAUCUGCUGAAAAUUGUUGAGACAUCGGAGUUACUCUGAAUCCUGUGAUAGAGGCUACUUUAAUGUUUCAGAAAGUUCUUGGUACCUUUCCCAUCUGUUAAUAGCAUCAGACCCUAAAGUUAAUUGCUUGAGCCAAUUUCAGGUAACUUUCAUAGGUCCUUUGAACAGUAACAAAAUUAUUCUUUCUAGUGCUUCUUUCUUUAUAGAUUUAUCUAUUUAUUUAAAAGUCCAAGUUACUGAGAGAUCUUCCAUCCACUGGUUCACUUUCCAGAUGACCACAGCAACCAGGCUGAAGCCAGGAACUUCUUCCAGGUCUCCCACAUGGUUAGCAGGGCCCAAGCACCUGGGCCUUCUUCCACUGCUUUUCCCAGGCCGUCAGCAGGGAGCUGGAUUGGAAGUGGAGAAACUCGGAUACAAACCAGUGCCCAUAGGGGAUGCCAGCUUUGCAGGUGGUGGCAUUACUCCCUAUGCCACUACACCAGCCCCAAGGGAAAUCUUCCAUCUACUGGUUCAUUCCUCAAAUGGCCGCAAUGGCCAGGGCUGGGCCAGGCUAAAGUCAGGAGCCUGGAACUCCAUUCAGGUCUCCCAUGUGGGUGUCAGGAACCCAAGUACUUGGACCAUUUUCUGCUGCAUUCCUGGGUGCUUUAUUAGGUAGCUGGAUUAGAAAUUGGGCAGCUGGGAAGUGAACCAGCACUCCUAUGGUAUGCUGCUGUCACAGGCGACGGCUUAACCUGCUGUGCCACAAUUUUGAGCCUUCUAACCAAGCUCUUUAAACAAGGCAACUCCUUGUAUAAAGGUAUGUCUGCCUCCUAACCUAUCACUUAAUGAUGGCAGUAGCAGUGAUGGAGAAGGACAUCACAGUGAAUUUCAAUGAAGUAAAAAGACGUGAAAGUGUUGGUCUUGUUAGGGUAAAAACUAAAGUGUAAAAAACACAGCUUUACGCAGUGCGCCAGCCGCGGCGGCCAUUGGAGGGUGAACCAACGGCAAAGGAAGACCUUUCUCUGUCUUUCUCCCUGUCCAAAAAUAAAUAAAUAAAUAAAAAUUAAAAAAAAAAACACACAGCUUUAAAUGAGAUGAAAACUGAGGGCUGGCAUUGUGGUACAACCAGCUAAGCUGCUGCCUGCAAUGCCAGUAUCCCAUAUAGGAAUGCUAAUUCAAGUCCUAGCUGCUCUGCUUCCAACCCAGCUCCCUGCUUUCAUGCCCGGGAAAGCAGUAGAAGAUGGCCCAAGUACAUGGGUCCCUGCCACCCAAGUAGGAGACUUACAUGGAGCUCUGGAAUCCCAGGUCCUGGCCAUUGUGGCCAUUUGGAGAGUAAACCAGCAGAUGGAAGACCUCUCACUCUCCCUUUCAAAUAAAUAAAUUAAUUAAAUUGGUGUUUUAUUUGGUGGUUGAGAAUAGAUCUCUGGUGUCUGCAUAGAAGAGAGUAUAUUGAGGAAACUGUAUUUUUUAAAAAGACAUUUAUUUGAGAGGCAGAGAGAUCUUCCAUCCACUGAUUUCACUUCUCAAAUGUCCAAAAUGGUUGGGGCUGGGCCAGGCUGAAGCCAGGAGCCUGGAACUCCCAUCUAAGUCUCCCAAAUGGGCGGCAGAAGCCUAAGCACUUGGGUCAUCUUCUGCCUUCCCAGGUGUGUUAGAAAGGAUUUGAACCAGAGCCCAUAUAGGAUACUGGCAGCUUAAGCUACUGCACUACAAGACCAGGCCCCAGUACUGUUUUUUGAUGUUAAAAAUUAACCAUUUAUUCAUUCAUCAAAUAUGUGAGCACUACUUUGUGGUAAAAUGAUUUCUCCACCACUGUACACCCCUCCCAGAAGCUUACACAGACCUAGCGUUAGCAAUGUGUGUUUCAUGAUUUGAUUCUUGGUGGGAGAGAGAAUAGAAGUCAGGUGUCAGUGCCUUUGAUUAGCCUAGUAUACUUUUCUUCAAGAUUUAUUUAUUUGAAAGGCAGCGUUUUUGUGGGGGUUUUUUGUUUUUUUGUUUUUUUUUUUUUGUUUUUUUGGACAGGCUGAGUUAGACAGUGAGAGAGAGAGAGACAGAGAGAAAGGUCUUCCUUCAGUUGGUUCACUCCCCAAAUGGCUGCUACGGCCGGCACACUGUGCCAGUCCAAAGCCAGGAGCCAGUUGCUUCCUCCUGGUCUCCCAUGCGGGUGCAGGGACUCAAGCAGUUGGGCCAUCCUCCACUGCCUUCCUGGGCCACAGCAGAGAGCUUGGACUAGAAAAGGAGCAACCGGGACAGAAUCCGGCGCCCUAAUGGGGACUAGAACCCGGGGUGCUGGCGCUACAGGUGGAGGAUUAUGUCAGUGCCCUUUGAAGUCGUUGAUCUCUUGGUUAUCUCAAAAUACUAAUUGUAUGCUACAGCUGUAGGCUAGAGCCACUUAUGCUUUUAUAUAAUACAGGUAAUUAAAAUUUUACAGGAGAGAGGGGCGGAUGUUGUAGCAAGCAGAGCAGGUUAAGCUGCCACUUGCAACUCCAGUAUGCUGUAUGGGCAUAACAUUUCAAGUCCUGGCUGCUCCACUUCUGAUUUAGCUCCCUGCUAAUGCACCUGAGAAAACCACAUGGGAGUCCUGGCUGAAGUUCCUGGAUCCUGACUUUAGCCUGGUCCAGCCCUGGCUGUUGCAGCCAAUUGGGAAGUGAAUCAGCGAUGGAAAAUUCUGGAACUUUGCCUUUCAAAUAAAAUCUGGGGAAAAAAAAAGUUUCAGGGGGAAACAAAGCUUUAGUUCUCCCUUAACAAUAGAUAGACAUUGACACUACCUGACAGUCCUUCUCCCUUUAUUUCUAGCUAUAUUUUGGUACUUUUUUUUUUUUAAUGAACUAUUAAAGGGAAGGAGUAGAUGAGGAAAAGACCUGGAGCUCCAUCUAGUUAUACUUAGUGGUGACUUAAUAUUUAAACUAUCACUUGACAUAAAUUAUCUUAUAGAAUCCUCAUGACCUUGUUAAGUAAGUAGAAACAGACCUCCAGGGGUUUGUGUGAUUUACCUUAGGUUACAGAGCCAUUAAAUAGAAUAGGACAUGAGCCUGAAUCUGCCUGAUUGUAAAGCCUAUGAACUUAUUUAAAAAAAUAAAAAAAAGAUUUAUUUGAAAGACAAGAGUUGGUGCCGGUGCUGUGGCACAGUGUGUUAACGCCCUGGUCUGCGGCGCCGGCAUCCCAUAUGGGCGCUGGUUCUAGUUCUGGCUGCUCUUCUUCCAAUCCAGCUCUCUGCUAUGGCCUGAGAAAACAGAAGAAAAUGGCCCAAGUCCUUGGGCACCUGCACCCACGUGGGAGACCCAGAAGAACCUGGCUUCAGAUCAGUGCAGCUCUGGCCAUUGCGGCCAUCUGGGGAGUGAACCAGUAGAUGGAAGACCUCUCUCUGUCUCUACCUCUCUCUGUAACUUUCAAAUAAAUAAAAUAAAUCUUAAAAAAAAAAAAAAAAAAAGAGAGAGAGAGAGAAGAAAAA